rnacentral:lncRNA from 1 species
UCCUCUUCUCCCCUGGGUGACACUUCGGACUUCCACCGUGAACAGCCGCUUCUCUUGACAGCUUUCCUCCUGACCCCUCCCCAGCAAAGCCAAGGUGCCAGCCACAGCCCGGGAGGCAGGGACGGGAACCCUAGGGUUCCGCGGAACCAGCCCGUCCCGGACCGCAGCGGUUUCCGCUAACCAGCCGCCAAAACGCCUCGUAUCUUGUACCGCGGGAAAAGCGGGUCCUCCACCAAGAUGGGCCGGCAGGGCCUAGGGGGCACGGGUGCUGCAGGGCGCUCCAUGCAGCGCUCUCAGAGCCGGAGCAGCCUCUCUGCCUCUUUUGAGGCUCUAGCUGGCUAUUUUCCUUGUAUGAACUCCCUGGAAGAAGAUGAAGGAGGUGAGGACCCUGUUCGUUCCCACCCUUCUUGGACUGUGUCUGUUAUAGAUCACUUGGGUUCCGUGGUGGUGGGAGGGUUGGCCUCAAGUGAGAACUCCAAAUAGCCCCCGCUGCUCGACCUGUGCCUGGGAAACCCGUAGAGUACCUGCCGAGAAUCACUGUUUGUGGGUUGUUCACGGAGCUCCACAGGCUCUCCUGGGAAAUAGUUGUUCUAGUGAGUGUUAAUUAUGGAGCACUUGGGAGCUGAAUGAGCAUGUAGACUGGGUGGGAGUCAAGCCGAGCCUCCUAUGUGUCCUCCUCCCGUUUUUCUUUUGUUUACGUCCUAAGUCUGCAGUCUUGGUGUCAGCAUAUAGUCUGAAGGACAGAAAUGCUGGGAAACUGGGGAGGACCGCUGCAGUAAAACUUUAUGUGUCCCAGCCUGUGACAGCCAAGAUCUGGAUGCGGAGUUUAGGGAGGCUGUGUGCUGGACAGGUCCAAGGCGGACACUAAAGGCGCAUUUGCACUGUGUUACUCGGAGUUUGUUCCCCAGCUGCGGAGUGCGAUUCUGGUUGUCUGUGCUGUUCAGUGGUGCCUGUGUAACUGGCUCUGUUAAACUUUUCACUGAGAGAUUUGCAGGCCUUCAUAAAGUUUUUAAUAACAGAUCCUGUUUUUCCUUGAUGAAAAACUCUUAUAAGAUUUUGCAGCCAACACUGAAAAUUUGUCAAUUAAUGAAAAUAAUGUAGAAAUAGUGUUCUUUGCAAACUGUGUCCUUCCUUAGGCCUAUACCUAACACUAUUGUAUACAAUUAAUUAAGAUUGCUUUUCUUUUAUUCUGUGACAAUGAUUUCUCACUAGAAAUUUGCCCUAACCCUAGUUUAUUAGAAAUUAAUUACCUGCUUUAAGAACAGGUGAAAAUAAAAACUUUACAUAUUUGCUCUGGAGGAGGGACAAAGUAGCCACAGGACAAUUCAGUUUUCAGACUGAAUCACUGUAGCUACCCCAAGUUUCUUCUGGCUCAUUGUUGCAAUAUUAAUUUCAUAUAAAUAAGACUCAUAAAUAGAGAUAUAACAAUAAGAUAACUCACUAUUUAGACAUAACUUUUGAUUUUCAUAUUUUGUUUUUCUGUUUUAUACAUUUACUUUUGCCUAUUUUCCUACAAAAAUUUAUUAAAAAUUCUAGGGAAUGUCUAAAAGUCAAACAGUUAAAAGUGGUCAAAGUGAGUAACUGGACAGCCAUAACUGUAGCUGGGUUUAGAAUUCCUUACUCGCAGGCACUGCUGAGGUCCUACAGUGUUUAGCCUUGAGGACCCAUAGCUUUUAUUAGCCCUGUUUCACAAACAAAGAUACUGAGGCAUAAAGACAUUCAAAAACUUUCUCAGCCAGCUGUCACUGUAGUCAGCACUCUAGAGUCUGGAGUCACAAACACUGCCAUCUACUCAGGGUUUACUCUACUAACCUAGUAAGUAUGGAAGCUACAAUUCAAAGUUAGGUGUGCCUGAAAAUACAUGUAGUUAAAUAAAACAUAGACUGUUGCAGGUUUACUUCUAAGCAUAUUUAGUACCAAGUCCUCAAACUUGAGUUUACUUCAUAUAAGCUAUCAUCAUUCGUAAGUGAUUGUUAGAAUUUAGGGGUUUACAAAAUACCACCCUAAAAGCAUUUUUGAGAUAGUAAGACAAGCUUCAACAAAAUGUGAAGAUUUUUCAAAAUUGAAAGUACACUCACUUAUCUGUGCCUCAUACUGGCAAAUCUAAAAAGGAAGUUUCUACAUAUACACAUGAGUAACUGGAACAGAUUUCUAUGUCAUAAUCUUGCUUCUUGAGUUGCUAAUACAAAAUGUUCCACAAGGAAGGUAGCAUUUUUAAAUGCCCCCUAUAUGCCUCUACUUUGUAACAAGGAAGCUCUCCACAGAUGAAUUCUUCCCUGGUCUGUCAUCAACUUGCAGCCAAGAGAAAUGGGCCUAAGCUUCCCUCUUUGGUUUCCUGGCUCUUCUUUUACCCUAUCAGCAUCUCCCACAGGUCUGUGAGGCUCAGAACCCCUGUCCAGAGCAGGGUUUCUCGGCAAUGUCUGUUCUUUUAAGCCUCCCGUGCAGACCACAUGAAGUUCGUGUAGGCAACAUGCUUGGAAGCAUUAUUAUAGUCAUAACUGUGAAACCUGUUCUCCCUCACAAGAAAGGGAAAUCAUUAUUCAAUGGAAAUGGUAGUCUGCUAAUCUCUGAUGGACCAAAUUAUCUGAUAGCUGUCACAGCUAGCAUUUUCCUUCCUCGUUAGGAUUAAAGAAGGGUCCCUGAGAGAGUGUGUAAAUGCUGACUGGGUAUCAGUAACACGAGUUUCUAAUCAUCUCAUACAAGAGCAUCCUGCACAUAUAUGAAAAUUGUUUGUCCAGACUCCUCCCCUAGUAAAGAAUAGAGUUUAGAUCUAAAUCCAUAAUGUGGGCCAGAGUUUAUACUGCUGUGUAAAGUGUUUUAAGUGCUAUUUCAUAACAGUUGUAUUAUAGCUCCUUGUAGGAAUCUAUGGUCUUGAAAACCAAGCACAAUAAUAAUAGUUGCCAUUAAUUGAGCAGCCUCUAUGUAUUCCUUUCUUUUAUUUCAUAGAAAUUCUUCAAGGGGAUUAUUUUUGUUGUUUUACUCUAGUGAAAAUAUAGAAGUUAAACACAUUGCUUACAGGUAACAAAACUCAAGUGUUACUGACUCGAGUCUGUGUUGACGGGAUGUUUCUGUAAACAACGUAAGUUAAUUCCCUAUAUAGUCUUGUCUUUGUCUUAUCUUUUCUGCAUACUUUGUGAGUUUGUUUUUUCCAUCCUUUCCCUUGGAUAUAUUCAAGAAAGAUGUUCUCCACAUCUACGGAGUUAUUUUAAAUAAAAGUGAUAGCACUACUACUUUUCCUGUUAUUUAACAAUUUAUAAAUUGCAUUCACUUAUUUAGCAUUGAUCUGUAUUUGAACACGUUAUAUUUUCAUUGUGUAAUAUAUUUGGUUCUAACACUGACUCUUUCUGAUACAGACCAUUAGUAUAUAUAGGAUAUUUGAAUAUUUCAGGCACUUACAAGAAUGUAGAGACUAUUUUAAGACAAUGUUUCCAUUUGUAAUUAUAGAAGCAACUCUUCAACUUUCCACCCAUUGGUUCC